rnacentral:misc_RNA from 1 species
UAAUGAUUGCGAAUCGCUGCCUUUGGUGCUGGCUCUUGCAAGUGCACAUUGGUGGCUUUCAUCCAAUACCCUUGUGAACCAUUGGCCUCUUGCUAGCUUCGGCUUGCAGAGGAUUUUUUACACUCACACUCGAAUGUAAUGAAUACUAUUGUCGUGCGCAAGCACUAAUGUACAACUUUCAACAACGGAUCUCUUGGCUCUCGCAUCGAUGAAGAACGCAGCGAAAUGCGAUAAGUAAUGUGAAUUGCAGAUUUCCAGUGAAUCAUCGAAUCUUUGAACGCACCUUGCGCUCCUUGGUAUUCCGAGGAGCAUGCCUGUUUGAGUGUCAUUAAAUUCUCAACCAUGUCUUGAUCGAUUUCGAGCAACAUGGCUUGGAUUUGGGAGUUGCUGGCGACGAAAGUCGUCGGCUCUCCUUAAAUGCAUUAGCAAAGGGUUCUGCAAAGCAAUUCAAUUCAGACGUGCACGGCCUUUUGACGUGAUAAUGAUCGUCAUCGCUGGAGCGUCGAGGGUUUAAACUGUUGCUUUUGUAGAAAACAAAGCUCUUUGCUUCCAAUUCAGACCAUCAUGUGAUUCAGUUCUGAAAGGCAAAGGCAGGCUUAUUAGUCUUUGGGCUGGUUAUUAGUCAAUGAAUGUUGGCGAAAGCAGCGCGAUGGCGAAAGGCUAGCCUCGAGCUUGAAUCGAAUCGAAUUGGUGUUCAUCUUUUGAAACUUG